rnacentral:rRNA from 1 species
CCUACGGGAGGCAGCAGUGGGGAAUUUUGGACAAUGGGCGCAAGCCUGAUCCAGCUAUUCCGCGUGUGGGAUGACGGCCCUCCGGGUUGUAAACUGCUUUUAGUUGGGAAUAAAAGGGGGCUCGUGAGCCCCGUAUUGUAUGUACCAUCAGAAAAAGGACCGGCUAAUUCCGUGCCAGCAGCCGCGGUAAUACGGAAGGUCCGGGCGUUAUCCGGAUUUAUUGGGUUUAAAGGGAGCGUAGGCCGGCUUUUAAGUCAGCUGUGAAAGUCCGCGGCUCAACCGUGGAAUUGCAGUUGCAACUGGAG